UCACAGCUCACUGCAGCCUCAACAACUCAGGCUCAAGUGAUCCUCCUCCCUCAGCCUCCUGAGCAGGGGGAACUACAGGCAGAUAGCUUGAGCUCAGGAUUUCGAGACUAGCCUGGGCAACAUAGUGGCGGCUCCAUAGGAGGAGAAAAGAUGGCGAAGAGAAGCGAUUCAAAGUUUUUGGAACGUGUCUAGAAGCACCUAGGUGGCGUGAGGGAGUUGCAGCAGGAGGGAGGAGGGCAGAAAGAGGCAGGGGCAGGGGACAAGAAUUGGAAGGGGAAGGGGUUUGUAGAGUCAGGGCCAUGAAGUGGCUCACCUCCAACAUGGGCCCCAUUCAGCCCCUUUGGGUGGUGGAAUCUGAACUGGAAGAAGCGGCCGUGUGUGACCACAACUGAAGAACUGUGUCUGUGUGUUAAGCAUCAUAGCAAUGGGAACCCAGGCCCACCUGGUGGGAGCACCCGGAGGUGAGCCUCACUCUUGGGAGAGGAACUUCUUCUUCACCCCAUCCUGAGAAAGCAGUGGUGGCUGUCAUCAUGGAAGCAAGGGUGUGCUUGGGUGGCCAUCACCGUGGAAGAAAGACAGGCUCAGUGGAGGACGUGCCUCAGUCACCACAGGAAACUGUCGGAGAUAUGGCAGAGGUGACAGCAGCACCAGCAUCCACAAUGGGCCCCUCAGCAGCCUCCCACUCUGUUUUCCCUGUGAGGAGCUGGGGCUGCCGCCUUGGCCCUAGUGGCUGCUGGCUUCUUGGGCUGCCUACAGGAGGCCAGGAGGAGCAACCCUGAUGCCGGAUGCAGAAGUUGAAGCAAACCUGGGAUUUGUAUCUGGGUCCUCCUGGCUUCAGAUCCCAAACUUCCAGCAUCAGGAUUCACUACCCCUCCGUGAUGACCAACACAGCAGUGCAUAAAGGUGUGAUGGUAUGGCCUUGGAAACCUCCUUCACUCUCCUCCAGCCAGCCUAAUUCAGGGCCACAUCCAUGGUUGUACCAUGAGUUAUGGAUGUUCUUCUCAGAUAUCCUAAUUCUUUCCAUCUGUCAUGCCCUUGAUCCAACUAGAGCUGCUCUGCAGUAUCACAGACAGCGCCAGAGCCUCGUCUCUUUUAUUUUCUCCCUCCUGGAUGCUCUUCCCUCCUAGCAGAGAAGUGAAAGUUGACCUCGACCAGUUGUCAGCUCCUUCCCUUCCUCCGUUUUCCUCUGGACCACAUCAUCCAGCUGAACCUUGGGUCUCACUCGGCCUCCCAAAAUGCUGAGAUUACAGCCAUGAGCCACUGCGAGAGGACUGAUCUUUAGAACAUGCUUUUAUUUUAGUCAAUUUAAAACUGAGACUUUUCAUUGAAAAUUGGCAGUUUAAAUUCAAUAGAAGACACAACGCCACCAAAUCCCACUGCCUUGCAGAUGUUGGCUGAGUGUCCCUUCCCACUCACAAAGCCUCACUGCCGCGCCCACCUCACUCCCAGCACUGCCUGCUGACAUCAGCCACUCCCUGGGCAUGGGAUUCCCAAAACAUGAGAGUAUCCCUGCCAAGCUGUUUCCUCCCAAAUUAUUUUCUGCCCUCCCUGUCAAGCCCUCCCCGACCUCCAACUCCUAUCCCCAGCCAGAGACCAGCAGGUGAGACUCUCCUGUGCUAACCCUUGUCUGGGAUAUAAAAAGAGGUGUUGGCCGGGUGUGAUGGCUCAUGCCUGUAAUCCCAGCACUUUGGGAGGUCACCUGAGGUCAGGAGUUCAAGACCAGCCUGGCUAAAAUGGCAAAACCCCAUCUCUACUAAAAAAAAAAAAAAUACAAAAAUUAGCUGGGUGUGGUGGUGUGUGCCUGUAAUCCCAGCUACUCAGGAGGCUGAGGCAGGAGAAUCACUUGAACCCAGGAGGCGGAGGUUGCAGUAAGCCGAGAUCACACCAUUGCACACCAGCCUGGGCAACAAGAGCGAAACUCUGUCUCACCAAAAAAAAAAAAAAAGAGGCGUCUAAGUGUCUAAGGCUGUGAGUUGGUUUUUUUUUUCUUUUUUCUUUUUUUUUGAGACAGAGUCUCGCUCAGUUGCCCAGGCUGGAGUGCAGUGGCUAGAUCUCAGCUCACUGCAAGCUCCGCCUCCCAGGUUCAUGCCAUUCUCCUGCCUCAGCCCCCUGCGUAGCUGGGACUACAGGCGCCUGCCCCCACGCCCAGCUAAUUUUUUGUAUUUUUUUUAGUAGAGACGGGGUUUCACCGUGUUAGCCAGGAUGGUCUCGA